UACGUAGGGGGCAAGCGUUGUCCGGAAUCAUUGGGCGUAAAGCGCGUGUAGGCGGCUCAGUAAGUCCGCUCUGAAAGCCCGGGGCUUAACCCCGGGAGGCGGGUGGAUACUGCUGAGCUCGAGUCCGGAAGAGGCGAGUGGAAUUCCUGGUGUAGCGGUGAAAUGCGCAGAUAUCAGGAAGAACACCUAUGGCGAAGGCGGCUCUCUAGUACGUGACUGACGCUGAGACGCGAAAGCGUGGGGAGCGAACAGG
rnacentral:rRNA from 1 species